AUAAAAGAACUGAAAGCGAUUACCGCACUAAUAAAGUGAGGCCAGUCAUGUCCUAAUCUUUUGAGGCUCGAAUUUUAAUUCGGUCCCUGAAGUUUGCAAUCAUUCAAUUUUUACCCAUAUAGUUUCAAUCGGUUGAACUCGGCCUGCUAACUUUGUGAAUCUGUCGCACUUCAGCCUAAUGUGAAGGAUGAAGAAAAUUAUUCAGGCUUUUCUUAUUGAGUGUUUUUUUGGCUGAAUAUUAUUGUCGAGUGUUGAGUGAAGAAACGAUUCUAUCCAAGCAUAAUCAGUGAGGUUACUUUUGAUAGCGGAAAAUUAUUCCAUUCAUCUCCGCUCUUCUCAUUCACAACUUUUUUAAAAAUUUAAAAGCAGCCUUGAUGUUUUUCGCCCAAUCUCUCUAUCCUCCUCUGUGACACACUCUCUCUCUUGCUCCUCCUUUGCCAUCUUCAUCCUCUCCCCACCUCACCCGCAUCUCCUCCCGCCAAGGGAUUGCAGUGACCUCACCUAAAGGGGAAGCAACGAGCUAGUUCACAGCAGAAACUGCCCCCUUCUCCCCCCCCCCCCCCCAUCGGGACUGCCCUCUGCUGGCUGGUGAGGUAGCUUAAGUAUAAUGAUCGUUGUUGGAUUCGUAUUAACUGGAUAUGGGGAUGGUGAGACCGAGACAAUACACCUGGAAGGCACUACUCAUUCAGUUGUCAUUUUGGAGGUCUUUGUGAAUAUUUUUAUUCCAUUAUAGAACGAAUCUAAAUCUUAAAUUAAUUAUAUCAAUGCUUGUUUAAAUGAAAUAAGUUGAGUGAAGAGGUUAUGAGGAUCUUGAUGAUUCAUUGUAAAUGAGUUCAGUUAAUUAAAGCGUGUGAUGUUGUUAUGUAUA